GCGCACGCUGGCGGCAGGCCUCACACAUGCAAGUCGAACGAACCUUUCGGGGUUAGUGGCGGACGGGUGAGUAACACGUGGGAACGUGCCUUUAGGUUCGGAAUAACUCAGGGAAACUUGUGCUAAUACCGAAUGUGCCCUUCGGGGGAAAGAUUUAUCGCCUUUAGAGCGGCCCGCGUCUGAUUAGCUAGUUGGUUGAGGUAAUGGCUCACCAAGGCGACGAUCAGUAGCUGGUCUGAGAGGAUGAUCAGCCACAUUGGGACUGAGACACGGCCCAAACUCCUACGGGAGGCAGCAGUGGGGAAUCUUGCGCAAUGGGCGAAAGCCUGACGCAGCCAUGCCGCGUGAAUGAUGAAGGUCUUAGGAUUGUAAAAUUCUUUCACCGGGGACGAUAAUGACGGUACCCGGAGAAGAAGCCCCGGCUAACUUCGUG
rnacentral:rRNA from 1 species